GACUCGAUGACUGAGUGGCCAAAGGUGACGGGCUGUAAACCCGUUGAUAUUUAUCUUCGUAGGUUCGAACCCUACUCGGGUC
rnacentral:tRNA from 1 species